rnacentral:rRNA from 1 species
AGUAAAUAGAUACCCAGGUAGUCCACGCCGUAAACGAUGAGCACUAGUUAUUGGGGGUAUUGACUCCCUCAGUGACGCAGCUAACGCAUUAAGUGCUCCGCCUGGGGAGUACGGUCGCAAGACUAAACUCAAACAAAUUGACGGGGGCCCGCACAAGCGGUGGAUUAUGUGGUUUAAUUCGAAGCAACGCGCAGAACCUUACCUAGGCUUGAACUCCUACGAACCUCUUGUAAUGGAGAGGGUGUCCGCAAGGAAAUGUAGUGAGAGGUGCUGCAUGGCUGUCGUCAGCUCGUGUUGUGAAAUGUUGGGUUAAGUCUCGCAACGAGCGCAACCCCUAUCGUCUGUUGCCAGCAUUAAGUUGGGCACUCUGACGAGACUGCCUGGGUU